UACGUAGGGGGCAAGCGUUGUCCGGAUUUACUGGGCGUAAAGAGCGUGUAGGCGGCCAAGCAGGUCCGUUGUGAAAACUGGAGGCUUAACCUCCAGACGUCGACGGAAACCGCGUGGCUAGAGUCCGGAAGAGGAGAGUGGAAUUCCUGGUGUAGCGGUGAAAUGCGCAGAUAUCAGGAGGAACACCAACGGCGAAGGCAGCUCUCUGGGACGUUACUGACGCUGAGACGCGAAAGCGUGGGGAGCAAACAGG
rnacentral:rRNA from 1 species